GUCGGUCAAAAAAAAAAAAAAAAAAAAAAAAAAAAAAAAAAAAAACCGCGUCAUCAUCACGCCUCGAAGAACGGCGUAAUCAUCACGACCUCGCCGCCUUCAACACGCGAACGACCCGUUUUCCAACGUCUCGGGAGCGGCAGUGGACGAAUCAGAAGAGAACGUCCAUCACACGCGCCUCGAAAACACGCGAAGGAAGUCGAAGCGAGAACGGCG
rnacentral:lncRNA from 1 species